AGAGUUUGAUCCUGGCUCAGGACGAACGCUGGCGGCGUGCCUAAUACAUGCAAGUCGAGCGGGGGCUUUUGGGAGCUUGCUUCUGGGAGCCCUGGCGGCGGACGGGUGAGUAACACGUAGGCAACCUCCCGCAAGACCGGGAUAACGUAGGGAAACUUACGCUAAUACCGGAUAGGGUUUCGCCCCGCAUGGGGCGGAACGGAAAGGCGGCGAUGAGCUGUCACUUGCGGAUGGGCCUGCGGCGCAUUAGCUAGUUGGUGAGGUAACGGCUCACCAAGGCGACGAUGCGUAGCCGACCUGAGAGGGUGACCGGCCACACUGGGACUGAGACACGGCCCAGACUCCUACGGGAGGCAGCAGUAGGGAAUCUUCCACAAUGGGCGAAAGCCUGAUGGAGCAACGCCGCGUGAGCGAAGAAGGCCUUCGGGUUGUAAAGCUCUGUUGCCUGCGAAGAAG
rnacentral:rRNA from 1 species